CCUACGGGAGGCAGCAGUGAGGAAUAUUGGUCAAUGGACGAGAGUCUGAACCAGCCAAGUAGCGUGAAGGAUGACUGCCCUAUGGGUUGUAAACUUCUUUUAUAUGGGAAUAAAAUGUUCCACGUGUGGGAUUUUGUAUGUACCAUAUGAAUAAGGAUCGGCUAACUCCGUGCCAGCAGCCGCGGUAAUACGGAGGAUCCGAGCGUUAUCCGGAUUUAUUGGGUUUAAAGGGAGCGUAGGUGGAUUGUUAAGUCAGUUGUGAAAGUUUGCGGCUCAACCGUAAAAUUGCAGUUGAAACUGGCAGUCUUGAGUACAGUAGAGGUGGGCGGAAUUCGUGGUGUAGCGGUGAAAUGCUUAGAUAUAACGAUGAACUCCGAUUGCGAAGGCAGUUCACUGGACUGCAACUGACACUGAGGCUCGAAAGUGUGGGUAUCAAACAGGAUUAGAUAUCCGAGUAGUC
rnacentral:rRNA from 1 species